CGGGGCUCACUGAGGGGACAUGAUGUUGACGACAGUGAGGGCACGGAGGGAGGUGGCACUGGCUCAGUCACAGCCCUGGGAUUAGUACGGGGAUGUGGGGGGAGACGGCACUGGGGACACUGAGGGGCAUGAGGGCAGAUGGCACUGGGAACACUGAGGGGCAUGAGGGACCUUGGGUCUGUCGUGGCCCUGACGUCAGUGAGGGACAGUAGCAUUUGGGAGACUGCCAUGACACAGUGAGGGGACACAGGAGAGGGUGGCAUUGGUUCUUCCACAGCAGGGAGGAUGUGAGGGAGAUAAGAGGAGUGGAUUCCCUCACAGUCCAGGGCGACAGGAGGGGACAGUGCUGGUGCCUUCUGAGUGGACACACGCUCCCCACCAGGCUCUGGAGAUGCAGAAACAUUGCAUUAAAGAGGAUCCCAAGGAUCAGAGCUUGUCUUGGCAUGUGGGGAGGAAGCCCGAAGUUGGCAUGGAGAACGUGAUCCCCAGAAGAGCCAUCAGGUGCUUGUCAUGGAUGGAGAGUGAGGAAGCACAGAGCGAGUCACUGAGGGGAAUCACCCCCUGCAGCAAGGUGUGUUACAUGCAAGAUACUCCCAAGAUACCAGUGCAGUCAUAGGGCACCUCAGUAAUGCUGCCAGUGAUCCAGGGGGAAAUUAAAGAGGCACAGGGAACACUUCAGGAAUUGCAGUAUGGAUUCCAGGAGGAAAAAUAAAAUUAGUAUUAGGAAAACCAUGGAAGAAACUGCUGAGUUAUAAGGAGAAGUCAACUGUUAGCCCUGUGAGCACACCUCCAUUUCUACAGGCACAAGUGGUUUGGUUUUAAACUCCUUCCCAUUUCCAUUUGUUAACACAGAGACUGGGAACCAGACAUUCCUUUGGCAGUGGCUCUUGGGAGGGAUUUCAGUCACCAACCACUCACAUCCUUGUGUUUGACUCAGUGCUUUAUUGGCAAGCUCACAGCACCUUGUAAUUAGCACAUGUGGUUGCUGGAGGUAAUUAUGUCACAGUCUAGUGAUUACACUUCCGGGGGUCCUGGCACCCCCAGUGUACCCCCAGGGAAUGAGGCACAGCAGAUAAUCAAUGUAAGGACACAGUCAAUCAAAAUCCAGGUGGGCCAGCAGGAUUUCCCAAAUCCCAUUCUGGUGACAAACUGGCCCAAAAAGUGGUUCCCUUGGCAAAGCCACACCAAGCACGUGCUCAGACAUGGGAGUGCA